UACGGAGGGUGCAAGCGUUAUCCGGAUUCACUGGGUUUAAAGGGUGCGUAGGUGGGCUAGUAAGUCCGUGGUGAAAUCUCCAAGCUUAACUUGGAAACUGCCGUGGAUACUAUUUGUCUUGAAUACUGUGGAGGUCAGCGGAAUAUGUCAUGUAGCGGUGAAAUGCUUAGAUAUGACAUAGAACACCAAUUGCGAAGGCAGCUGGCUACACAAAUAUUGACACUGAGGCACGAAAGCGUGGGGAUCAAACAGG
rnacentral:rRNA from 1 species